CCUUGGCCCAUAUUCCUGCGGGAAGCAGCAGUGAGGAAUUUUUCACAAUGGACGAAAGUCUGAUGGAGCAAUACCACGUGAACGAUGAAGGUCUUCUGAUUGUAAAGUUCUUUUAUUUAGGAAAAAAAGCGCUACAGGAAAUGGUCGCGCCCUGAUUGUACUAAUUGAAUAAGUGACAGCUAACUAUGUGCCAGCAGCUGCGGUAAAACAUAGGUCACGAGCAUUAUCCGGAUUUAUUGGGCGUAAAGGAAGCGUAGGCUGAAGUGUGUAUCCAUUGUUAAAAGUACUUGCUUAACAAGUGUUCGCGGUGGAGAUUACACUUCUAGAAUUAGUUAGAGGGCACUGGAAUUCAAUGUGUAGUGGUGGAAUACGUAGAUAUAUUGAGGAACACCGGAGGCUAAGGCGAGUGCCUGGGACAUAAUUGACGCUGAGGCUUGAAAGCGUGGGUAGCAAAUGGGAUUAGAUACCCCAGUAGUCCACGCCGUAAACGAUGGGUAUUAGUCAUUUGAAUUUAAGUUGAGUGAUGUAGCUAACGCGUUAAAUACCCCGCCUGGGUAGUAUAUAUGCAAAUAUGAAACUCAAAGAAAUUGACGGGGACCUGAACAAGUGGUGGAGCAUGUUGCUUAAUUCGAUAAUACACGCAAAACCUUACCAAGGCUUGCAAUCUUCUGCAAAGCUAUAGAAAUAUAGUGGAGGCUAUCAGAAUGACAGGUGGUGCAUGGCUGUCGUCAACUCGUGUCUUGAGAUGUUUGGUUAAGUCCCGUAACGAGCGCAACCCUUCAUAUUAGUUGUUUAGUUCUAAUAUGACUGAAUCGUAAGAUCUAGGAAGGAUGGGGCCAAGUCAAGUCAUCAUGCCCCUUAUGCCUUGGGCUGCAAACGUGCUACAAUGGUAGAUACAAUGUGUUACAAUCUAGCGAUAGUGAGUUAAUCACCUAAAGUCUAUCUCAGUCCGGAUAAAAGGCUGCAAUUCGCCUAUUUGAAGAUGGAAUCACUAGUAAUCCCGUAAGG
rnacentral:rRNA from 1 species